rnacentral:rRNA from 1 species
GACAGAGGGUGCGAACGUUGCUCGGAAUUACUGGGCGUAAAGCGCGUGUAGGCGAGUGAUCAAGUCAGGUGUGAAAUCCCCAGGCUCAACCUGGGAACUGCACUUGAAACUGGUUGCCUUGAGUGCUGGAGAGGGAAGCGGAAUUCCUGGUGUAGAGGUGAAAUUCGUAGAUAUCAGGAGGAACACCGGUGGCGAAGGCGGCUUCCUGGACAGUUACUGACGCUGAGACGCGAAAGCGUGGGGAGCAAACAGG